UUAAGUUCAGCGGGUAUCCCUACCUGAUCCGAGGUCAACCUGUAAAAAAUAAAGGUUUCAGUCGGCAGAAGUCCUCUCCAUUGACAGACGUUCGAAUAAAUUCUACUACGCCUAAAGCCGGUGAGGCCUCGCCGAGGUCUUUAAGGCGCGCCCAACUAAGGACGACGCCCAAUACCAAGCAUAGCUUGAGUGGUGUAAUG
rnacentral:misc_RNA from 1 species